GCCAGGCGUGGUGGUGCACGCCUGUAGUCUCAGCUACUCAGGAGGCUGAGGCAGGAGAAUCACUUGAGUCCAGGAGGCAGAGGUUGCAGUGAGCCGAGAUUGCACCACUGCACUCCAGCCUGGGCAACAGAGUGAGACUCCGUCUCAA
ensembl:misc_RNA Metazoa_SRP Metazoan signal recognition particle RNA